CCGCAGCCGACGCCCGCCGACGGACGCCCCGCAGCCGAAGCCGCCGCCCUCCCCCGUCGCGAGUCGCCGCCCCGUCGGCCCGUCGCGGGGACUCACGGUCCCGACCUCUCCGUCGCCGCCGCGACUCGCCGCCCGUCGGCCCGCCUGCCUUCAGGAAGAUAUGGCUGAUAUGAGCGGGGAUUGUAAAGAGUACCAUGAGAUCGUUAUCAAGACGUUUGUUAGCGAGGAAGACGGAUUCAAUUUCUACAAUAGUUAUGCUCUUGAGAAAGGAUUUAGCGUGCGGAGAAGCUACGUUGAGUGGGAUGAAGCCAACAAGGAGAUAAUUUUGAGGAAAUUUUUAUGUAGUCGUGAAGGUUAUCGUGAAGAGAAGCACAUGAAGAGGAAGAGAGGAGAUAUGAAGAGGAGGCCACGGAAUAUCACUCGUGUUGGGUGUAAAGCCAAAUUGGUCCAUUUUUUUGUUUAGAGGUCUGCUUCCAUUUUAAAACGUCCAUCCUAACUGCAGUAUCUGAGACCUGAUUUGAAACUGAAACCUAGACAGGCCAAAGCUGAGCGGCAGAAUAUUGUUCUGGUUGCUCUGAGUUAGUAAGCUAAUCCCUAAUCAUAUAUUGUGGAUGGACCAAUGUCUUCGAAAAAAGGUGACGACUGCUGAAAGUGAUUGGGACAUUUUUCAUUUAUGUGUCCAACUGUCCCUCGACACAAUUUUCGUUCUCCGAAUCUGAAUUUGAAUACUCAGAUACUAGCACUACGUGGAGCACUUCUUUUUUCGUGUUUGAGCAUAGAUUAAUGGCCAUGUCGGCAAUUGUGACUCUAUUUUCCUUGGAAAAUGAAGUUGCAGGAAACCAAAUCCACUUUCAGCAUCUAGGCUUGUGGGGAACACUCAUUCUGCUUGUGUAAAACUCCCUAAUUACUUCAAUUUGUCUUCGUCUUGGAAGCAUAUACUUUGCUAGGAAACUUGCAUUUAUUUCAUAUCUGAGAACUUAAUGAACUGCAUAAUCUGAAGAUGCACUACAUAUUGCCAUUUAUCAUGGAUUGUGUAUGUGUAUCUGACAAAUCGUAAAUUAAUACUUUGCGCAGUCUGCUUCAACGCCAAUUUUAUUUGACUGAAUUGACGUGUCCCUAUGUCUGCAGUAAUAUUAUCUGAACUCAAUCAUCUUGUAGUGGUUUCUCAGGUGUACUAUGUUGAUUGAAUUUCACAUGGCCCGUAAAUAAUUCCUCUUGAUCUGUGUUAUGCUACCUACAUUUAACUGAAGUGAGAACUAAAAAAGGAGAUAUGUGAGAACUGUUGAUUUGUAUUUUACCCAUUGAUCCUUACUUGCUAGUAUCACUGCAUACAUGAGGGUAACUGAUGCAGUAUUGUGUUAAUUAUACUUGCCAUUUGCAACUUAGUACAUUCUAUUACUUCCACUUUUGAUAUACUUGUGAUUUAUGAAUUUGCUCAAAUGUACUUUCCUUUGUGUCGCAGGCCUUUGAUGAGGCUAUAUCAGAGCUGGACAGCCUGGGUGAAGAAUCCUACAAGGACAGCACUUUGAUCAUGCAGCUUCUGCGUGACAACUUGACUCUAUGGACAUCCGACACCAAUGAAGAUGGUGGUGAUGAGAUCAAGGAAGCCCCAGCUCCGAAAGAAUCUGGAGAAGGACAGUAAGCUGAAUCCAGACACUUGUCUGAUGCGCCAGCUGUUCUUGGGGUGUAACAGAAACCGAUGGUCUUGGAUUUCGAUAGCAAUCUUCUAGUACGCGUACUGUUGUGGUCGCUACUUUGACACUGUUUAAUUAAGCACUUUAGAGGUUUCUGGUGUUGAUAAAUGCUUGCUGGAUUAUCGUUUUCUUGUUCAAUCCGGCCACAAGCAAAAACCUGCUCUUUUGCACCAUUAGAAUGUUUGCUGUAUCAACCAUGUCUGACAAGACUUGCUGCAUCUAGUACUAUUUUGCUGAAA